CUCAUCUCUGCUUGGAGCAGUGUCAUGAAAGCCAAGAAGCCCCCGUCACCCGCUGACAGGAGGAGGGUCUCAGCAGGGAACAUCUUGUCCAGGGCUGCUGCAACCUGCAGCCAGCAAUGCCAAUCUACUGGGUUUCCUUUGAAUUGAAUUCAGUUUUCCUGGGUGUGCAGAAUACACACACCUUUGUUAAUGAGUGAGAAACAACUGAGUUGGAUCUCAAAAUAACAAGAAAGGACACUUCCCUGCUCUUGGCAUGACAGCAGGGGACUGAAUAGAGAAACUCAGACGUAGUGGCAUCCAUAAUUCUUGGCCUUUGCAGAAUUUUCAGUGCCUUGGCAACUGUUCCUCUUUUCAUUGCCGACAAGCAAUAUAACACUGUGAAAUCGCUCUCUCUCUCCUCCAGUAGAAACUCAAUCCAGGCCUCUGAACACAAUCAGUUCUAUUUAUCAGGAAGUUGCAGCUCUCUUGCAAGAUGCAUGUCAGAAAGUCAGGGGUGGAGCGGUAGAAAAAAGAAGUGGAAGAGAGAACACAGUGUUCCAGGCUGAAAAACAAUUAUUGGAAGAGCCAGGUGGUGAGUGUCCAGGCGAGUAUUGGGGUGGGGUGGGGGGCUCCUUGGAAAGAAGGACUGGGGAAGAAGCAACCUAAUACCCCACAUCUGGAAGGAAACGGGAAAUAAGUGAGUAUCUGUUUAGGAACCUGGCAAGGGAUUUACAGAAGAGAUUGGCUAAAAGCAGACGAGGGUGUUUUUUGGUUGUUUUUAACGUGGGAGCUACGUUCCCGCCCGGAGCUAGUUAAGGACAGGACUGAGCCCACCACCGUGACCCCCAUACCGGAAGUGCAGCCCCUUCCCCUUUUAUUUGGGGAUGGGCUGCGGGGAAAGGCCGCCUGGUCUCCUUUCCUCUUGGCCCCCCUCCCCUUCCCCAACUUACCCGCCCCAAAGACCGCGGGACUCCCGCCGUGGCUGCCAUGCCGUUGGUGGUGCUUCUGUCUAAUGAGGCCGGGCGGGGCCUGCUGGAGCCGGGGCAGAAAGGUUCCGCCCCUCGCCCGCCUCCGGCUCCACCUCUAUUUGCCUACUUUCCAUGCUGCUCUCCAUGACAAAAAGGCUCGAGCUGAAAAAAGGGCGCAGCUCAGGACGCCUUUGUUUUCAAUGUCAAAUUUUGAAGGAGGAGUGCGCCGCUAAGUAUGUACAAAGGGCUUUGCUUCCCUUCCCCCGGUCGACUUAAUUUAAACGGCGAGUUAAAAUGCGAAGGCUCGACACAGCCCUAAUAAGGAAUUAUAUCGAGAUUAUAUUCAGUACUGCGACGUAUUCAGCACAUUCUUCCUUAUGAAUGAGUAAAAAAAAAACCCAAGCAAGUUGAGCAAAACAGAAACAUUUACAUUUACAGAAACAGCUACAUUUAGGGUAGCUGAUAAAGGCAAGAUCAGAUGCACUGACGAUGCAAGAAGAAUGAAGGGUGUCUGUUAGGAAAGGAUUUGUGGAAAUGUGUACAUGUAUUUUAGACACACAAACACACCUUCGUUUUUCUUGGCACAAAUACCCUCUACAAAGGGGGGGGAUGUUGCAGCCAAUCACACUCGUUUUCCCUACACACGCCCACUCACCCAUCCAAUGCCAAAGCUGGCAGUUUCACAUACACCCUUCAAGGAGCACAUGUGUUAGCUUUGCAUCUGUGACUAUGCACAGAGCAAGCAAACAGCAGCAGCACAAGGGCAUGGCCAACAGCAGGGAGGGAUUCAAGAAUGUGCACAAACACCCACGUCAUCUGGCUUGGGUGUUAUUUGUUUUAAACGUUAUAGCCCUCCCAUAAACUUAGAACAGGGAACAAUAAAUGGGAGGGCAUAACACAUCAAGUGUUCAGUUAAAAAUCGGUUUAGACUGGAAAGCCACAACAGAAGGAAACUGAAAAGCACGACUUCUUACUGGACUAACCACAGCUGUGGAAAAAUAAGUCUAAGUAUCCAAGAGUUGCAAGGCAGCAAAGGAGCUGCUGUGUGAAUCAGUGUCUAAAGCGUUAAUCUGGGUCCAGAGUUGUGGUUGUUAAAAUCAUGAACUAAGAGAUGGAAAGCCCCUGUUUUUGUCUGCACAGCACAGCUGUGAAUUCAUUGACAGGCCAUUGGCAAGACACUAUUGAGCUUGAGUCUCUCCUCUCACCCAUUUUGUAAGAAAA